GUUCCAGGACGACCUGGACCUUCGAACAUCCGGGACGGCCCG
rnacentral:ncRNA from 1 species